UUUUANNGGAGACCUGUAUGAAUGGCACAACGAGGGUUUAACUGUCUCUUUUUUCUGGUCAGUGAAACUGAUCUGCCCGUGCAGAAGCGGGCAUACCAACACAAGACGAGAAGACCCUAUGGAGCUUUAGACGCCAACCAACCACGAAAAGCAACCCAACAACAGGGCCCCCAAACAGCGUGAUUUUGGCACAAACGUCUUCGGUUGGGGCGACCACGGGGGAAAACGAAGCCCCCCAGAGGAUUGGGAAUAAACCCUAAAACCAAGAGCCACAGCUCUAAGUAUCAGAAAGUUUGACCAAAAAUGAUCCGGUUCACUACCGAUCAACGGACCAAGUUACCCUAGGGAUAACAGCGCAAUCCCCUCCCAGAGUCCACAUCGACGAGGGGGUUUACGACCUCGAUGUUGGAUCAGGACAUCCUAAUGGUGCAGCCGCUAUUAAGGGUUCGUUUGUUCAACGAUUAAAGUCCU
rnacentral:rRNA from 1 species